rnacentral:rRNA from 1 species
UACGAAGGGUGCAAGCGUUACUCGGAAUUACUGGGCGUAAAGCGUGCGCAGGCGGCUUUGCAAGACAGAUGUGAAAUCCCCGGGCUUAACCUGGGAACUGCAUUUGUGACUGCACGGCUAGAGUGUGUCAGAGGGGGGUAGAAUUCCACGUGUAGCAGUGAAAUGCGUAGAUAUGUGGAGGAAUACCGAUGGCGAAGGCGACACCCUGGACUCAUACUGACACUGAGGUGCGAAAGCGUGGGGAGCAAACAGG